UUCAUUUGGUUUCUCUCUCCAACGCUUACAAUAAUUCACUCACGCAGCAUUAAACGUAUCUCGAUUCCCAUCAUUAUCCCUUUCCCCAAUUUAAUUUUCCCUAACCAAAAUCAAUCAAGCGUGAUUCUUCUCCACCAUCUCCCUAGAACUGGCCAUCCAAAUCCUUGGUUUUAUUCGAUUGCAGCCCCCCUCACCCUUACCCGAGGUCGCCAUUUAUAUGAUUGGAGUCGUCCCUCACCCUUACCCGAGGUCGCCAUUUAUAUGAUUGGAGUCGUCCCUCACCCUUACCCGAGGCCCUAAGAAAGUUACUGCUAUUUGAACAUAUGAUUCUGAUACAGACAGUUUCUUUUCUAAGUGAAAUCAUGUCCAUGACGAGUAGUAUUGGAUUUUUGAAGAGGUCUGACUCUUGAAGCUAGAGAUAUUCCUGGCUAAAUUUAUCAAUUCUAAUAACAGGUAAUUCGGUAAACUACCAGGAUCAAACAGUUUUGGGAUAACAUUGAUAAUGAGCAAUUUAAUUGUGGUUGAGGCUAAAGUCCUAGCAUGGUAAAAACCGUCAGUUAAUGCAGCAAUUAGUUUUUCCUAAUAAAUUUCAAGAAAGAUGAUGUGCUGGAGCUGACCAAAUGGUCUGUGGCUCCUUUCCCUAUUCCUGCUCCAGUGGUCUGUGGCUCUUGAGAUGUGAAGAAGCUUAGUGGUUCUUUGUGGAUCAUAUAACCAUGGAAUUGCAUUUUACUUUGCACCCUUCUUUGGAAAUAAGCGCAUCCAGAUGAUGAUAAACAUACUUAGAUUUAAAAUUGUUAGAUUUAGUUCUUGGUUAUGCUAUGUAUAUUUAUAUUUUGUCAAAUUAUAAGGUAAAAAUCCCACAGGGAUUAUAAAUGUUAAUAAUUUCAUGUUAAAACUCUUUUUUUUUAAUAAA